rnacentral:piRNA from 1 species
UAAAUCUCAUGUGAUUGCAGCAAGGA